AAGUCGUAACAAGGUUUCCGUAGGUGAACCUGCGGAAGGAUCAUUAAUGAUUUUUCUAAUUAACUACCACAAGUGUUUUUCUUUUUCAACACAUUUCAUGUUCCAUUCUUUGAAAAGAGAAAUGAUUGAAAUGUGUUGAAAAAGAAAGGAGAAACAAAAAACACACUAUAUAUACUUUUUUGACAACAAUUAUUUUGAAAAAACUAUUUCAAAAAUGGAAAACACUUUUAACAAUGGAUCUCUCGGUUCUU
rnacentral:misc_RNA from 1 species